rnacentral:rRNA from 1 species
GCCUGACCAGCCAUGCCGCGUGCAGGAUGACGGUCCUAUGGAUUGUAAACUGCUUUUGUACAGGAAGAAACAUCUCUACGUGUAGAGACUUGACGGUACUGUAAGAAUAAGGAUCGGCUAACUCCGUGCCAGCAGCCGCGGUAAUACGGAGGAUCCAAGCGUUAUCCGGAAUCAUUGGGUUUAAAGGGUCCGUAGGCGGUUUAGUAAGUCAGUGGUGAAAGCCCAUCGCUCAACGGUGGAACGGCCAUUGAUACUGCUGAACUUGAAUUAUUAGGAAGUAACUAGAAUAUGUAGUGUAGCGGUGAAAUGCUUAGAGAUUACAUGGAAUACCAAUUGCGAAGGCAGGUUACUACUAAUGGAUUGACGCUGAUGGACGAAAGCGUGGGUAGCGAACAGGAUUAGAUACCCUGGUAGUCCACGCCGUAAACGAUGGAUACUAGCUGUUGGGAGCGAUCUCAGUGGCUAAGCGAAAGUGAUAAGUAUCCCACCUGGGGAGUACGUUCGCAAGAAUGAAACUCAAAGGAAUUGACGGGGGCCCGCACAAGCGGUGGAGCAUGUGGUUUAAUUCGAUGAUACGCGAGGAACCUUACCAAGGCUUAAAUGUAGAUUGACCGAUUUGGAAACAGAUCUUUCG